rnacentral:rRNA from 1 species
GGCUGUCUCCACCCGAGACUCAGUGAAAUUGAACUCGCUGUGAAGAUGCAGUGUACCCGCGGCAAGACGGAAAGACCCCGUGAACCUUUACUAUAGCUUGACACUGAACAUUGAGCCUUGAUGUGUAUAAUGUGAUUUACAUCACACAUUUUGACAUUAAGAACGGUAUGCUGGAAUCACCAAGACGGGAAAGACAAGAGGUAAAAUUUAUGACAAUGAACAUUACCAGUAAACAAAUGGAAAUUACUCCGGC